rnacentral:lncRNA from 1 species
GGCGCAGAACUUUUUAGCCGGUUAGCGACGAACCGGCUACAAUUUUAUAAGUUCUGGUCGUAGGUGUUGUAGUGAGAAGAUAGUAUUGUGGGAACUUAAUCAUACGACAAGGAGACAUGACGUGACGGUAGCUAAAGAAACUGACAGUAAUUAAGAAUAAGAAGAAUGAUCCAAAAAAUCUUAAGACCAAACAACAUCGCUCCAUGACGAGAAAUACCUACAUUUUUAAAUCACAGCAUACGUUAGUGAUUUAACUCGCUCCGAAAAUGUUUACGGAGACUUACAGCUAGUUGGGAAGUGAAGUGCUGAGAGAUUACGUUUGGAACUGUCGAAAAAAUUAGGUUACAUUUAAUCUAUGGAUGAUUGUUUCCCGAUGUUUGUAAGGCCCCUUUUACACUAUAAAAGUACUUUGUCAGAUGUCAUUUACAAAAUAUUUGACGACAUACUGAGAUGUCUUAUCAUGAAUAAAAAUCAGAGCGUUGUCAUACCUUUUGUAAAAGAAUUGUCAAAGACCUUUGACAAUGUAAUAUGGGCCUAAUUAAUAGCAAUGAACAUACGAGAAUGUCAGUUGGUAUUGCAGAAAAUGUUCUGCUAAACACGUAGCAGAGUAGGAACUGCCUUGAAAGUGCAUUGUUUGGUAGAUGUUAAAAAGUUUCUGACAUUGUAAGUACAGUUCCUCAACUCUUGUACAUAUAUCAACACUCGGUGCGGUGUUAGCUGCGAUGUAAACUGAAGCAUUGAAGAAGUUUGGAUUCUGCUUUAUAGUGCCCCACUGUAAGGAUUAUCAACUUAUCUUUGACCCUUCAAAAUUGAUUGGGCGUUUAUAGUUUGAUGUAUCACACACACACAUUAUGGUUGAAGUGUUUAGUUUGAAGACUAGUGUUACGUAACUCCCCAUGCAUGUCUGUUCUAUACAAUCCCUGUCAUUGCGUUAAUACUACUGCAUCCUACACCCAUUUAAACCUGCUUACUGUGGUCUAGCUUAGUUAAGUGCACUUACGGUGUCGGCGGCUCUUCCGCUGUGUGGUGGAGUUAGCAGUUAGUUUCUGUUAGUCAUAGCCAAUCGAGUGACAGUAUACAGUAGCCAGUGAGAAUUGCUGAAUCUAGUGACUUGUUUCGGUGGAAGAUAUAAAUUAAUUACAUUUGCUUUCGUCACGGAUAAUGUGAGAUUGACUGACAGUUCUUGAUACGGGUGUUAAGAAUUAUGAAGUUGGUUACUCGUUUUCGUCUGUAUUUCUUGUAUUGUGUUUCUCAGAAUAUGACAGAAUUCCUAUGAGAUAUUGUUGCGUAUCCCAGUGAUCAUUUGGGUGAUGAGUUGGUGAAGUCAAUGCAUGUGAAUGAAGAAAAACUGACUGUGGUACUGGGCAGAUCUGUUGUGUAACCCAAGGACUAGCACGUGUUCGUCAGCACAGCACUGAGAACUGGCUCCGAGGAACUUCCUCUAAACUGGAGCUGUCUCGUCCGUCAUGUUAUGCGGGAGAGCAGCCUUACAAUUGAAGCUGAGAAAAAGUCCAAGUACGUUGCAACUGUGCGGCUGCUCUUGUGCAUGCAUUGUAAUCCUCGGGCGCCACCGGCUUCCUAAACUGCUGCCCGAAUCUCGUCAGUCCGCACCUUGAGCAAGAAGAGGAGACGGAAUUAUCUUAAUGACAGGAGUGGCUUCAAAAAUUUCAACAUUGGAUCAUCUACUGUUUAGAAAGAUUUACAGUGUUUUGUUUUAAAACAACUGAUAUGUCCAGCUCAGUUCCACUUGGAUCACUUACUUCCUGGUCCUCUCCUGUCUUCAGGAAAAGCAGAAGGUGCUAGAAAGUCGUCGUGCAGCAGUGUGAGAUGGCCACCCGACACACUUAUGUACAUUAUCACAAGUAUACGUCUCGGAGCCUGCAGUGAUCUGUGCUGCACCUUGGAGUUCCUUCUGUGUUGAAGUUUCACGGUAUUGGGCUUCUGAAGAAUGGGACACACUGAAGAAGUGCUACAGGGGCAUUGCGUGGCGACACGAGACUGCCACCCGACGUGCUUAUGACAUCACAAGUGUAUGUCUCGGAAUCUGCAGUGCCGUGUGCUGCACCAUUGGGUUCUUCAGUGGAAAGUACUGUGGUUUGGGCUUCCCAAGAAUGUAGAGCUUCUCUGAGGCAUUAUGAAACACAGAAGCAGCGAGCAAUGUUAAUCAGACUUUGAAUCGCAAGCACAUAACUGGGAAUUGUAAAAGGAUUUGUUGCUUGUGAGAAAUGAAUUCCUCUGUACUUAUCCCAACAGUAAUUGACUACUUCAACUGAUUGGAAAUAACAGACAACCAUUUGCGAAAUAUAGGUUUAUUACAUCUUGACCAUAGUUUUGACAACUUUAAAACUGUCCUCUUCAGGAGAUAUUGUACCUAUUAACAAAUAUUGCAACAGUGUGUGUAGAACAGUUGCGGUAUCAUUAUGAUAAAAAAAAUUACAGGAAAUGUUUACAAAUAAUUUUAGUGAAGCAUACUCAUGUAGAAUCGUAUAUUAUCUAUAAUCAAUGUGGGAACUGUUGGCUUUGUCUAGCACGUGUGUGUCCUUCUCUUAAUCACGAUUUAAAGUACAUGAUAUAAAAGUAGUAGCUGUCUACUUUAGAGAUUUGUCUGAAAACUUUUUAAAUUACCACACAUUUCACAGUGGAUCAAACGUGCAGUAUGUCAGUUGAAACGUGUGUGUGCGUGUGUGUGUGUGUGUGUGUGUGUGUGUGUGUGACAUUUAAAUAUAAAACGUGGCAUUGGAGCCUACAGUGCGUAUGUAUGUCAUGUGCAGAGCUGAUGACAUGUGCUGACUGGCUGAAGAGUAGUGGCACUGGCCUUAAGUUGCCUCUGGUAGGUAGUAUAGCCACAACAAGUAGGUGUGUGGUUUCACAAGUGCAAGUUAAUUACUAGAAUUAACAUUUUACUAAAAUGUUGAUAGCGGGAGAGGAGAGGGGAGGAGGGGUAAGAAAGUGUGCCAGUGAAGCCAUGUGGCUUAUAAAGAGCUUGCAGGCUCUGGCAAACAUAGCAAACUCUUUACAAUACCACAAAAAGGCAUGAAAAGCACUUGCGUUUGAAUCUGCAAUUGUAACGAGCAUGAGUAUCAAAGCAAAAACGCUUCAAGAAAAUAUUAUCGGUGUAUAAGGGGCCCAAUACUUGAUAGUUGAGUUGACCCCUGACAUGAAGGAAUACUGCAAAAGGAUGCACCAUGAUGGAGAACCUGCAGAUAUUAAAAGACAAA